rnacentral:rRNA from 1 species
GACGAACGCUGGCGGCAGGCUUAACACAUACAAGUCGAACGCAUCGCAAGAUGAGUGGCAGACGGGUGAGUAACGCGUGGGAACAUACCCUUUUCUACGGAAUAGCUCUGGGAAACUGGAAUUAAUACCGUAUACGCCCUACGGGGGAAAGAUUUAUCGGGGAAGGAUUGGCCCGCGUUGGAUUAGCUAGUUGGUGGGGUAAAGGCCUACCAAGGCGACGAUCCAUAGCUGGUCUGAGAGGAUGAUCAGCCACAUUGGGACUGAGACACGGCCCAAACUCCUACGGGAGGCAGCAGUGAGGAAUAUUGGACAAGGGGCGCAAGCCUGAUCCAGCCAUGCCGCGUGAGUGAUGAAGGCCUUAGGGUUGUAAAGCUCUUUCACCGAUGAAGAUAAUGACGGUAGUCGGAGAAGAAGCCCCGGCUAACUUCGUGCCAGCCGCCGCCGUAAGAC